UACGUAGGGGGCAAGCGUUGUCCGGAUUUAUUGGGCGUAAAGAGCGUGUAGGCGGCUUGGUAGGUCUGCUGUGAAAACUCGAGGCUCAACCUCGAGCUGUCGGCGGAAACCACUUGGCUAGAGUCCGGAAGAGGAGAGUGGAAUUCCUGGUGUAGCGGUGAAAUGCGCAGAUAUCAGGAAGAACACCUAUGGCGAAGGCGGCUCUCUGGGACGGUACUGACGCUGAGACGCGAAAGCGUGGGGAGCGAACAGG
rnacentral:rRNA from 1 species